AUUGUGGUUUACUAAAAGCUUUGGAAAUGUAAGUAUUUUGUGACAGCGGAGAGGACUACCGGGCAGGCAAUGCUGAGAUUCUAUGCUGGGAGGUGCAAGACUUUCCAUUGGAUGAUACGCUGCCUACUAGAAAAUCAUGUAUAAAUUCAGCUUCAAAACAGAAGUCGAUGACAGCCUGACUGAAGAGAUGUCCUCAGAUACAGCGUGUCCAUGAUCUUUACCUCUUCAGUUGACUGAGACAUCACUGAAAGGUCAACCUCCAUCUCUGCCAAUGACUCCACCCUGCAGAGAGAGAGAGGGAGAGAGAGAGAGAGAGAGAGAAAGAGAGAGAGAGAAAUUCCACCUGUCUCUCUAUUCCCACUCUGUCAGUUGACCCGUCAAAUCUCAGUUCAGUGGUACACUGCAUUUGUCAUCAAUAAAAAAAUCUGAAUAUGAAAUGUCCAGAGCAUGGAAACAAGAUGGUUAACCUUUGUCCUUUGACACUUUCACACUACAUAGGCUUUAUUACACAGUAAUAACUGGGGGGGGGGGCUAACUCCGCGGUCUAAGGCACUAGAGGCGUCACUACAGACCCUGGUUUGAUUCCAGGCUGUAUCACAACCGGCUGUGAUUUGUGCUGCGCCCUAUGGGACUCCCAUUGGCCCAGCGUCGUCCGGGUUUGGUCGUCAUUGUAAAUCAUUUCUUAACUGACUGGCCAAGUUAAAUUUAAAAACACCAGUAGUUAUAACCACGUAGGCUAGGCCUACACAUUCACUACCAACCGUCUCCCCUUGCUUGCAGGCCUGGUAUGUCUCAGCUCAGAGUCACUCUGUUAAUAUCUGUGACAGGCCGUCUCCCCUGCCUGCUGGCCUGGUGUGGCUCAGCUCAGUCACUCUGUUAAUAUCUAUGGCAGGCCAACCAUCUCCCCUGCCUGCUGGCCUGGUGUGGCUCAGCUCAGUCACUCUGUUAUUAUCCAUGGCAGGCCAACCGUCUCCCCUGCCUGCUGGCCUGGUGUGGCUCAGCUCAGUCACUCUGUUAUUAUCCAUGGCAGGC
rnacentral:lncRNA from 13 species